GAUGAAUGCUGGCGGCGUGCCUAACACAUGCAAGUCGAGCGGCAGCGCAGUCUUCGGACUGGCGGCGAGCGGCGGACGGCUGAGUAACGCGUGGGAACGUACCCCAAAGGGAGGAAUAACUGCCCGAAAGGGUAGCUAAUGCCGCAUAUGGUCUUCGGAUUAAAGGAUUUAUCCGCUUUGGGAACGGCCUGCGUACGAUUAGAUUGUUGGUGAGGUAAUGGCUCACCAAGUCGACGAUCGUUAACUGGUCUGAGAGGAUGAUCAGUCAGACUGGAACUGAGACACGGUCCAGACUCCUACGGGAGGCAGCAGUGAGGAAUCUUCCACAAUGGGCGAAAGCCUGAUGGAGCAACGCCGCGUGCAGGAUGAAGGCCUUCGGGUCGUAAACUGCUUUUAUAAGUGAAGAAUAUGACGGUAACUUAUGAAUAAGCACCGGCUAACUACGUGCCAGCAGCCGCGGUA
rnacentral:rRNA from 1 species